UUUUUACUGGGCCAAAAGCGCAGCCGCCAGACUCGGAGGACAUGCGGAAGGGACGCCAACCUGCAUUUGGACACGCGUGAGUACUGAGAUGUGUGGUGUGCUUGAAGAGCUGAUGUCUGAUGUCAUGUUGCACCACAAAGUGGAGGAGAGUGUGCCCGCCAGUCUUCUGCUUCGUGUACUGCACAACAGUGUCAACUCCACAUAGACAACCCGAGCAUCAUCAAGCACUUCUGGAAUAUGCCAUAUGACUAACUUGGCCCACUUCAAUGUCAUUUAAAACUUCACCAGAAUAGUGUGAUCAUGUUGUUGUGGAGUACACGGCAGUUAGUUUUUGUCUCGGUGAGAGAAGUCGGAUGUGCCCAUGUCCCCCUUGAUGGGUCAUGAGAUAUCAGUGACAUCACGCAUGAGCUGGUCAAGCACACGCUCCCAUCUCAGGCUUGUCGUCAGUGUUUGUGUGCGUACAACUUGAAGUGGACCACACAAAGAUUGACUGGUCAAAUGCUUUCACAUUGUCAUGUUUGCUUUUCUGUCCAAUAAAUUGUUCAACUUGAA